UACGUAGGAUGCAAGCGUUGUCCGGAAUUAUUUGGGCGUAAAGAGCGCGCAGGCAGUAUGACAAGUCAGAUGUGAAAGAGCCGGCUUAACCGGCAAGGGUCAUUUGAAACUGUCAGACUAGAGUGCAGCAGAGGAUAGUGGGAAUUCCCGGUGUAGUGGUGAAAUGCGUAAGAUAGUCGGGGAGGAACACCAGUGGCGAAGGCGACUAUCUGGGCUGCAACUGACGCUGAGGCGCGAAGGCUAGGGUAGCAAAACAGG
rnacentral:rRNA from 1 species